UACGUAGGUGACAAGCGUUGUCCGGAUUUACUGGGCGUAAAGAGCGCGCAGGCGGUCGUUCAAGUCGAGUGUGAAAGCCCCCCGGCUCAACUGGGGAGGGUCAUUCGAUACUGAUCGACUCGAAGGCAGGAGAGGGUAGUGGAAUUCCCGGUGUAGUGGUGAAAUGCGUAGAUAUCGGGAGGAACACCAGUGGCGAAGGCGACUACCUGGCCUGUUCUUGACGCUGAGGCGCGAAAGCUAGGGGAGCAAACGGGG
rnacentral:rRNA from 1 species